GGCGGCCAUUUUGAAUAUUCCAAUGUCAAACCCCCGCUGCAAUUUUUUCCCUCCAUAAUCAUAUACCAUUUAAUGUCUCUAGAAUAAAUUUAACAUUAAUGUUCUGGAAUGUUCUGUGAAAAUUCAAAGUUUUGACCUUUUUGCAUUGUUUCCAUGGUAACAACAGCUAUUUUGGAAAUUCCAACUCCAAAUGCCACAUCUUCCAAUGUUGCUCAUCGUUACUGUGAAGUUUCGUGAAGUUUGGAGCAUUUUGAGAUUUUUGAAAUUUUUGGUGUAGUUCCCAUGGCGACAUAGUAGUUCCAAUGAGUGCCAAAAUCAUCCAACACCUGUAUAUAGUGGGCACCUACAUUGUAUUAAAAUAUGAUGAUUCUGAGUUAAAGCAUUACCAUACAGUUCACCAAAACUAAAAACUGUAUUUUUUCACAUUUGUUCUGUUUCCAUGGUAACGACAGCCAUUUUUUACCAUUCCAAUGUCUCUUGCACAACUCCACAUGGCGGUUCAUAUUAUGGUAUAGUUCCAUCAACAUUGGUCUGCCCAAUUCUGAGAAAUAGUAUGGACAAAAUGUGUGGAAGAAUAAAAAUAAUAACUAGAUUUGCCAUUGCAAGCAAUAGCGGAUGGCACCCUUCCCACAUUGCCACUAAACUGCAGCCAGUUUGAAAAUUCCAAAGUCAAAGA
rnacentral:lncRNA from 1 species